UCGAUCUUGUGGUAGACUGCCCUCCUAGUAAUUGAUUGCAUACCGUCUUGCUCCUGUUUACCGUACUAUUAGCUUGACUUCUUUCCGAAUGGUUCAUUCCCUACUUACUCUAUUAGGGGCAUACUCAAUAGUUGUCUUUCCUUUCCUGUACUAUUCCAAUUUCCCUAUUUGAUCUAGUAAGGGGAAGGGCAGACCGCUUACCAUAAACAGAAGAUCGAUAUCGCACAGAAGGCCUGAUAUCGCCCUAUUUGAGAUACUGAUUCAAGUUAGAAGUACUUCCUCAGAGCGAUUGAACUAGCCUUUUGACUAAAUAGAUAUGGGCAUAGAGAGGGAAUCCUGAACUACAGGAAAAAAGGAUUCAAUCCAGACAGAAAG
rnacentral:lncRNA from 1 species